GAUUCAAUUCGAAUCGAACGGUUAGUGAUCAGGGGUGGUUUGGUCAUUUAAACGUGCAGAUUUUGGGGUGGGUUGUCUUGUGUCCGUGCCUUCACGGGGUGGGGGCGUGAUUUGGGGGAGAGAGGAGAGGGGGUUGGUUGCAGGGAGUGUGGGCGUGAUUUGGGGGAGAGAGGAGAGGGGAUUGGUAGUAGAGAGAGGGUGAGGGUGGGUGCACGAUUUGGGGGACGGAAGGAGAGCUGAUUGGGGUUGUUUUCUUUUCAAUUUGGGGUAAUUUUGAAUGCAAUUCGUGUAUUUCUUGAUUGUUGUUGAUUCUUGAUGCGAUUCUUUGCCAUUGGGCUUCUGACUGAUUGGACCACAUAUUAUUAUUACUAUCCAUUAGGCCCAUUAUAUAAUACCAUUAGGUCGACUUACACCCCAAACUCCUUAUAGCCUUAGAUGUAUUUAAACUCUGUUUCUGAUGUAAAGAAGACUAUGAAUGAAGAUAUGAAUUUACUUUGAUUUCUAUUCCAUUAGAAAUUAGGAUAGGAGUUCAAGGGUAGAUAACAUUGUAUAUAGGGUGGUCGCGCUCGAACGCCAAGUGAUUUGGUGGAUUGAGCGCUAUACCAUGACAAACUAAUACUACAUGAAACUGUUAACCACCACACAUGAAUGUGUUAAUGGAAAUCCACGUUGGCCCAAACCACUAACUGUUAAAUGUUAUUAAGCGUCUAUAUGUGCUCGUUGCCAAGAAUCAAGUUGUUCAAAAUUAUAUCAAAUCUGCGGAAAGGCUUUGGGUUUAAAUUGUUGAUUAGUGAUUAUUGCCUGUUUCUAAACGGGUUAGUGCAACAAUUAGAUAAAGAUUUACAGGAUUUUGCCUACUCUUUAAGAAUUCAUCUAAUUUUGGGAUAAUUACUUCUUAUCAAGAGAUUAAAGUUCUAGAGGAAUGGAUAACUUUAGUUUAGGUGCAGCAAAAAUAUGGAAGAUUUUGCAGUUCUGGAUUCUACGUACAGUUUUUACUGUCUUUUGUUGGUUUCCAUUUGCAAUUGCAUGCAAGUUUUUCGCGUGGUUCUACUUCGUGUUUUCGAUGAAUUCAGUGUUUAGUAGCAUAGUAAGUUUGUAACUAAGAUAUCCGAAGUACAUGUAAUUAUGUUAGUGUGAACACGGAAAAUUCCUGAAACGAAAGAGACAAGAACAACGUGCACAAACAAAUAUUUGUAUUUGAUGAUUUUAGGUUACAAUCUCUCUCUAUUUUGAUCCUCUUAUUCGAUCUCCGUAAGGUGUUGAUUUAUGGAUAUUUGGUUGAUCCAAGGGCCGUGGAGGCUUGAUUUUGGAUGAACUGUUGAAAGUUUCUUCAAGGGGCUGUGGGCUUGAUCUUUGAAGGUGGAUUUGAGCGGAUCUUCAAGGAGCCGUUGGGGGCUUGAUCUUGAGGAGGAGUAUUUCUUCAAGGGCCGUUGAGGCUUGAUCUUGAAUAACGGUGAUGAGCGGAUCUUCAAGGGCUUUUGGGCUUGAUCUUGAAGAACAGUGAUGAACAUAUCUUCAAGGGUUUUUGGGCUUGAUCUUAAAGAACAGUGAUGAACGGAUCUUCAAGGGCUUUUGGGCUUGAUCUUGAAGAACGGUGGCUGCGUGGAUUCGUUGAUGUUGUUGAUCCAAAGGGCCAUUGGGGCUUGAUCUUGGAUGAACGGAUGAUGAACGAUGGUGCUUUCUUCAAGGGCCGUCGGGGCUUGAUCUUGAAUUGGUGGAAGUUCUUCAAAGGCCUUUGGGGCUUGAUCUUGAAUUGGUGGAUGGUUGAUCCAAGGGCCGUCGGGGCUUGAUCUUGAAUUGGUGGAUGAUUGUUGAUCCAAAUGGCCGUUGGGGCUUGAUCUUGGAAGAACAAUGAACGAAGAAUGAAGAACACUUUCUUCAAGGGCCGUCGGGGCUUGAUCUUGAAUUGGUGGAUGAUUGUUGAUCCAAAGGGCCGUUGGGGCUUGAUCUUGGAAGAACGAUGAACGAAGAACGAAGAACGCUUUCUUGAUUCUUCGGGAACCUGGAUGCUUGAGAGUUUCGGAGUUUCAGAGCUUCAGAGCUUCAAGAAUUUUGCCUAAUGAUUUUGGUUCUCCCUUCAAAUGAAUGAAAUGGGCUUGUAUUUAUAGAAUUUUCCAAGGCCUAAUUUUGAAUAUAAUAUUCCAGAUGAAAUAAGUCGUUUCUGCCAGGUGUUGACACGUGUCCUAUUUGAUGACUUUUCCAACUCAUUUCAAUUUUCGUUGAGUCACACGCUACGUGUAAAAUUUAUGUAAUACAUGAGCGUUGAAACUUUGAUUUAUCGGUCAACAUUUAUUUACCGAAAUUUCGAUGUCUACAAAUGCCCCCACUUCAAGGCACGUCGUAUACAUGUGCUUGUCACGUGUAGGAGAUGCGUUUUGAAGUCCCUUAUUGUAGAUGUCGAUCCAAGGGCCAUCGAGGCUUGAUCUUGAAUUGGGCUGGAGAUUUCUUCAAGUGCCAUUGAGGCUUGAUCUUGAAUUGGUCUUGAGAUUUUUUCAAGGGCCGUCGAGGCUUGAUCUUGAAGGUUAAAAUUGGACCACAAGGAGUUUCAUGUGGUAGAUGAUCUUUAGCUUUGGUAGUGGAUGAAUCGGCACGUAUUUUGUUGCGCUUGUUGUCUUUCCACAGCUUUGAUCUUGAACUGGGUUGGAGGAUUUUCUGGAUUCCUCCAAUUGUUGAUUUUCCACAGCUUAUUCUUGAACUAGGUUUUGAUUCAAGAGUGGUAGACACUUGAUCUUGAAUCGGACUUGUGAUUUCCUCAAGGGCCGUCGAGGCUUGAUCUUGAAUUUGGCUGGAAGCUUCUUCAAGGGCUGUUGAGGCUUGAUUCUUGAAGGUUGACUCGAACACAUGGCAAGCAGGCACGAGGUGAAGGUGACGACUUGUUGCUUUGUUCAAUCUUUCUAAUUCACACCUGAGCAGUUUGGUCAACUGUAUGAUCUUCAAGAUUGAUGGGCUCUUCUUCCAGUUGGUGACUUAAUCUUUAAGGUUUUGAUUCAAUGGUGGUGAAUCGGCACGUGCAGCUCACAACGCCUAGUAAGCCGACCCAAGAAUUUGAGGGUCAAAACGAAUUCAUCGUCCAGAAUGAUUGCAACCCUGAUGAUAUGAGAUACUUUUGAUUUUGAAGAAGUAGCGGAUGACUCAGCACGUGCUUUGUUGCACUUGUCUCCACAUGCUUCAAGGUAUCAUUUUCAUUUCCUUUAUCUGUUCCUCAGGCAGAUGUGGCAUCUUAUCGAGUUCCUCAUCUCAGACUCCUUCUGCUGAGUUGACUAUGCAUGCUGCAUUCUUCUCUGCUUGUUUCUUCUGCACGUUGUCUCCACGUGCUGCAAGGUAUCAUUUUCACUUGCCUUAUUUGUUCUUCAGGCAGAUGUGGCAGCUUCUUUGGAAGUACAGCAGCAGUGGGAGACGAGUACUCGAGAGCAGUGCUAGGUAGGCAAUCAGGGAAGGGUUCCUAGCAGUCGGUUCCUUACCCGAGUUUGAGUGGAAGUUCCGGCAUAUUGUUUUCUUUAUCCUUGUCUUUGUAGGUAGGAACAAGGACAAAGGAAAGGACAGGGAGAACGCAUGAUAUGAGAUACUCUUGCUUUCUACCCUGAUGAUAUGAGAUACUUUUGCUUUGGUGUCAUUUGUUUGCAGAGGUACCCCAAGGAAUAAGAAACACUGAGUGA
rnacentral:lncRNA from 1 species